AGAGCCCAGCGUGCGCGGCCUUGCGUGCGUGCACACGCAUAUGUAUCCAGGUGCCUACGCAGGUGCCUGACCCUGGGCAAGUCGCUCCGUCAUGCGGACCUCAGUUUUCUCAUCUGUCCGACGAAGCAUGAUUUUCUGGUCAGACUGCAUCAGCUCCUUCUUCUCCACCAGGACAGUAGGGAUCUACAGCCCAAGAACCAAAGACUUUGGACAUUUUGCUCUACUUGGGAAGUUUGUAAUGUUAUCUUCUGCUGUGGAGCAUAGUGCUAAGAAAUAGGGGGAAGAAAGGUGGGUUUCUUCUGUCUCCACCCCAAAGACCAAGGAUACUUUCUUCCCUGAGGGUUGCCUCUGCAUUGCAAGUUUUUUCUGACCCUUCACUACACAGAUGGACAACUCAGGUGGCCAGAGGACUUCAACUGAAUGGAAUUAUACAAUGAUUUGUUGAACAUGUAUUGUGCACCAGGGAGUAUGUGAGGCUAUGUGGUAGGCAUGAGAUGAACAAUGGAAGAUUCUUGCCCCAUGGAAGGUGACCACUGGAAUUAGAAAUCCUAGCAUCACCUAAGGAAAGGCUCAGAUCUUCCCUGGUGGAGGUUGGGGAUCUUCCCGAAGGGACCUUUUGGACCCAGAGCUCUUGUAUCAUUGCCUCUUGGCAAGAGGUUUAGAGACUCCCUUCAUCAUGAAGUUUCACAGACUCCUUCAGCCUUUAUCUUUCCUGAGUUCUGUGGGGAAAAGCUAGGUUAGAUAUGUGGAGUGACUCACCGAGACCUGAGAAGGCAUCUGCAUGAGGCUGCAGGAGUGUCCUUAGAGAAAAGGGAAGCUGCAGUGUGGAGGCUGGGGGAUGCACAAGAUGAUCUCCAGAGUCUCUCAGCCUUCAGAAGUGCAGGCCCUCUGAGGCCACAUUCCUUCCUGGUCUGGCUCAGUGGAGGCUGUGUUUCCCCACUGUUGCUUUUUGCAUGGAUUUGUUCAGCAGUUGAAUGGGCAGAGAAGGAGGAGUCUCUCCCUUCCUGUUCUCACACAGCUCUGCUUCAUGGACACCCACCCAGAUUCACUGGAGAGCAAAGCCUACCAGAGUCCCUGUCAGCAGCACUGUUUCUAGAAGCUUCCACAUGAGCGGACAGCAUGGAGUCCUGGGGGCUAAUGAAGCAGCAACGUCAGCAUGAGCACAGGCAGGGAGAGGCAAGAGGAGCAGAGUAAAGGGGAACGUUCUCUUCAUUCUUCCACCUGCCUGUCCCCCAGCCGACACGUCCCUUCCGUUCCCUGCAAGGCCAUUUCCAGGGAGGCUUACGAAGACAGCAGAUGAUGGUGAUGGAAGGAGUCUGGGUGCUGAGCUGUGCCAUGGACCUGGAGAGAAACUGAGUCCGAGGGAUGUCAACAUGUCAAGUCCAUGAAAUAUUAGUGGGCUGGAAUUCUAGCUGCCUGAAAGAAGACAUUCCUCACAAAAGACCUCACAAUCAUAUCCGUGGAACUAUAGCACUGGGCUCUCCAGAUGGUGCUACAGGAAGACCUCCAGAAAUUUGACAAUCCUCUAUUCAAGGCCCUACCACAGAGACACACAGGAAUGGAACUCAGAAUCACAAACAAACAAACUUUGAUCCAAGAAAGAAAAUGAUCUUUAAAAAGACCCUCGUUUCAUGCUGGCCAAUGCUGAGAAAAUCUGCUCUGGAGGAUAUUUGGAGACACUGAUUAAAAGAUGGUUGUCCCAGUGGAGGGGGAUUCUUCGUGUUACGUAGAUAGCAAGCACGAUGCAAAAGUGUUGAAGCAGGAGUGUAAAGAAUAAUUAAAACACCUGCCCAAGACCCAAGCAAGGAUAGGAUUUCCCAGACAUUCCCGAGGGAGAAAAUGCCAUGUCCUUUCCUUCUGGUGUCACAUCAGAAUCUGAAGGCUGCUAGAGAAGAGAGAGAAACAUGAAAGUGAGUCCCAUGCUGAUUGUUGUUGAAAUACCUGGAAAGAAACUGGCAAAGACUAUCCAAGGGAUGCUAAGACAUGUCCGAACUUACAAAACAGUAGAACCUGAAUAGGAAUUUGAAGUUGUCUAUACUCAGCCACACCCUGCCAUUUUACAGACUGUCUUCUCUGGGGAAGUUAGCUGUCAUGUUGUGAGGAUACUCAAGCAGUUUAUAAAGAGGUUCAUGUCACAAGGAAUGGAGGCCUCCUGCCAACAGCCAUGUAAAGGAGCCAUCUAGGAAACAGAUUCUCCAGCCCCAGUCAGACCUUCAGAUGAUUACAGCCCCUACCAACCUUCUGACUGCGGUGGAAGGAAAGUUCCGGAACCAGAACCACCCAGGUUAAUGUGGGUAAGUCUCAUCCAAUCCUUUGAAGGCCUGAAGAACAAAGAGUGAGGUUUCUGGAAGAAGAAAAUUUUACCUCAAGCCUGCAAUGUAGAAAUUCUGCUUGAGUUUCCUGCCUGCUGGCCUGCCCUGUGGAAUUCGGAGUCAAGAAGGAGUCUUGUAAGCAUUAACUGAGAUAGUAUAUGAAGAGUGCUUUUGCACCGAGUGAACCUUCAAUCAACUGUACUAGUUUGUAUGCCUGGAAGAGCUGCUAUAUGGGAUCAGAAAGAAAAAUAAGGUGCAUACCCC
rnacentral:sRNA from 1 species